rnacentral:rRNA from 1 species
GGGAAAAAUUAAUAAUUUAAAUUUAAUAAAAAAAAUUUUAAUAUUAAAAAGAAAAAUGGGGGUUUGAGUAUUUUUAAUAGAAAAAAUUAAUAUUUUUAUAGUUAAAUAUUACUGUAAAGGAAUUUAUAAAUAGUUGAAAUAAAAUUAAUAAAAAAGUAAAUUUAAAUUAUUGUAUCUUGUGUAUCAGAGUUUAUUAAAUAAUAAUAAUUUAAUUAAAUAAAUCUCGAAUUUAAAAGAGUUAAUUAGUUAAAAAAGUUAAUGUUACAUAAUUAUUUUUAAUAACUAAUUAGAAAUGAAAUGUUAAUCGUUUUUAAAUAUAUCUAGUUUUUUCAGWAAAAAAUUUAAUUUUAAAUUUAAAUAAUUUUAUAAUUAUUUAAUUAAUUAUAAAAAUUUAAAUUUUAAUAUUUUAGGGGAUAAGCUUUAAAUUAAAAAUUUAUAAUUAAAAAAAUAAAUUAAAAUUAAAAUUUUUAAAAUUUAUAUUGUUUAAAAAUUAUAGUUUAUUAUAAAAAAUUUUAUUAAAAAAUAAAAUUUAAAAUAAGAUAAUUUAAAUUUUUAUGAAAAAAUAAUUUAUAAUUUAAUAAAAUUAGAAAUAAUGAUAAAAUUAGUAUAAUAUAAAAUAAAUUAAAAUGAAAAUUAUAAAUAAGUAAAUAAAAGGAAUUCGGCAAAAAUUUAUAUUCACUUGUUUAUCAAAAACAUGUCUUUUUGAUAAUAAUUUAAAGUCUAAUCUGCCCACUGAUAUUUUAUAUUAAAGGGCUGCAGUAUAUUGACUGUACAAAGGUAGCAUAAUCAUUAGUCUUUUAAUUGAAGACUUGUAUGAAAGAUUUGAUGAAAUAUAGACUGUCUCUAAUUUAUGGUUAGAAAUUAAUUUUUUAGUUAAAAAGCUAAAAUAAAGUUAAAAGACGAGAAGACCCUAUAGAGUUUUAUAUUUUAUUUAAUUAAUAUUAAAUAUAUAAAUAAAUAUAUUAAUUAAAUAAAAUAUUAUGUUGGGGUGAUAGAAAAAUUUAAAUAACUUUUUUUAAAUUUAAACAUAGAUAAGUGGUUAAUUGAUCCAUUAAUAAUGAUUAAAAGAAAAAAUUACCUUAGGGAUAACAGCGUAAUANUUUUUUUUUAGUACACAUAAAAAAAAAAAAGUUUGCGACCUCGAUGUUGGAUUAAGAUAAAAUUUAAAUGCAAAAGUUUAAAAUUUUGAUCUGUUCGAUCAUUAAAAUCUUACAUGAUCUGAGUUCAAACCGGUGUAAGCCAGGUUGGUUUCUAUCUUUAAUAAAAAUAAAUAUUUUAGUACGAAAGGAUCAAAUAUUUAAAAUAAUUUUAAAAAAAAAAUGAAUAUUAAUAAUAUAGUUUAU